CCAAAGCCAGCCCUCACAGUCACCACGGCCAAGAUCCUUGCAAGAAAUUCUUCUUUUGCUCUUGCCUGCUAUGGGACCUAAAUAUAACAUUUUUGUAUUGACUUCAGAUCGCCCUUCUUCCAGUUACAUGCUCAAUUCCAUGAACCCCUGCCCUCGGCCAUGUGCCACCCUGCCUUGGAGCCAGCAGAUUAGAGACUAAAACCUUCGCACAAACUGUGAGGCAAAUAAGGACAAGAAAACAGGGAACCAGGAGCAAUAUCUUCACUUAUAGUCAAGAAAUUGGAUGGUAUGGUUUUAUGGAGUGAACACAAUGCUAUGCUUCUGUCAACAGAAGACACUGGAGGCACACUGUAGGGGGAAAGAAGCUUUUCUUCCAGGUUUCCAUCAGCUGCAUUUUAAUUUCUUGUUUCUACUUAUAGUCUAUCAGUGGCCCACAUAUAUGAAGAACUUCAGAUAGUGCUCUGUCCAGACCAUGAAAUUCCAGCAAUAUCCAGACCAUGAAAUCCUUCAGUGAUUUUGGAGCAAUAGAAGAUGCAGAUGAAACUCCAAACACACUCAGCCAACUUAUCUUUGACAAAAGAGACAAAUAUGUUCACUGGAAGAAAGCUUCUUUAAUAAAUGUGGCUAUAAAAACUGGCUUUCCACAUGCCGAACACUAAAAUUACACCAAUGUCUAUUGCCAUGCACUGAAGCCAAAAUGGAUCAAAGAUCCAAAGAUUAAAACAGAAACACUAAAUCUACUGGAAUACAAAGUAGGUAGAAAUUUUGCAGACAGUAGUAUAGGUAGAGACUUCAUGAACAAACCCAGACUACAUGGGAAAUACUACAAAGAAUCAACAAAUGGGAUCUCACCUUAAUAGAAAGCUUUUGCACAACAAAACAAAUCACCGACAGAGUGAAAAGACAACCCACAGAGUGGGAAAAAUUAGUCACUUGUCCCUCUGACAAAGAAUGUAUCUCUAGAACAUAUAAAGAAUUGAAAGCAAUCAGGCCCCACAAACUCAAACUCCCAAUCCAAAAUGGACAGCUCUGAUUAAUACACACUUCUCAGAUGAAGAAAUACAAAUGGCCAAUGAAUACAAGAAAAAUGUUCAACAUCAUUGGUGGUUUGAGAAAUGAAAAUUAAAACAACACUGAGAUUCCAUUUCAUCCCAGUAAGAAUGGCGAUUAUCAAGACAUCAACCAAUAACAAAUGCUGCAGGGGCUGUUGAGAGAAAAAGGAACCCUUCUCCAUUGUUGGUGGAAAUAUAGACUGGCACAACCACUGUGAGAAUCAGUGUGGAGAUUUUUCAGAACACUAGGAUUAGAGGUACCAUUCAAACCAGGUAUUUUCCUUCUGGGCAUCUUCCUAGAAGAAUUAAAAACAUCAUACCACAGAGAUAUACGUGCACCCAUGUUUAUAGCUGCAAAAUUUGUAAUAGCUAGAUCUUGGAAACAAUGCAAAUGCCCAUCAACCGAGGAAUGGAUAAAAAAGAUGUGGUACUUUUGUGCAAUGGAGUACUAAUCAGCCAUAAAGAAAGAUAAACUGGAGACUUUUAUAGGUAAAUGGAUGGAACUAGAGACCAUACUCUUAAAUGAAAUUAAUCAAACCCAAUGUGUAAACGUUGCACUGUCUCACUAGUAUGAAAAGCUGAAUGAGUAAUUAAGACCCAAUAUGUACAACAGAUAUUGUGAAAUAGGAAGAAACAGUUCAAAAUAAUAGAGAAACUACAGUGGAGGAAAGGAAAAAUAAACGAUGGAAAAGGAAAAAAAUAUACACAAGAUAGUUAAAUAGUUGUACAGCUAGUUUCUUUAGUUCAUCAAAAAGAAAGGUUUGUGCUAAUAUUGUGUGGACAAUAUUUCAUGUCUAUAUCCUGCACUGAACAAGUACUAUGACUAUAAUAAUAUGUAAUAUAUUAUUUUUAAUCUAUUAUUUUGUUUUGAAAAUAUGUUUUAUUUUUAUUAUUUUUUCUUGAAAUAAUAGAACAAAUUUAUGUUUCUAAAUUAUUAUAAUACAUCUUUUGUUUCUUUCUGCUUUUUUCCUCAAAAGUAACUAUUAGUUGAUGGUGGGUUAGCCAUGAUCUAUCAUCUACCAUUUUUAUCUUCUAUUUUUUGAUUAUUUACUAAAUAUUCAAGUAUAUUAUUAAAGUUUGUUUUGUGUUCCACUGUGUCAAGUUUUUCACAAUACACAAUUUCCUUACAUUAUUGCUUAAUUUAUUUUUCUGUGUUGUUAAAUCUUACAGAAGUAUUUUUUAGUUCAUUUUGCUCUCAGUUUAUAGUGGCCUUAUCUUUUAUUCAGUAUGAUAUUCUUUUUUUUUGCGACUGCCUGCUUGCAAGGCAGGCACUUAUGCCGCUGAGCUAAAUCCCCAGCCCCGAUAUUCUUUUUUAUUAAUACUGGCAUUAUUCCUUUGACUCUUACUGAGAACAUAAAAGAAAUGUUCUCAUAACUCUACUUCAUGGGGAAGGAUUUUCUUGUAGUAUAUUAGAGGAUAUUUCUUGUCUUUCCUAUUCUUAUUGUUUAAUCAUGCUUAACAACUUAGAUUAUUUAAAUACAAGAUAACAAAAACUUGUUACUAUAAUAUAUACUGCUAUUUUUUAUUUUUCCCUUAAUUAAAAAGAUAAAAAGAAAAAAGUGAAUAAUUUUUAAAAAAGGGGGAUUGAGAUAAAAGAGGGCAUAACAACAGAACAGCACAGGUUAAAACAUAACCAUUUAAGCAAAUAGUGUUUCACCACAAGAUAUCUUGACAUAAAAAUAGUUACCAUAGUUUCUCUUUCCUUGAAAUCUUUGAGUAUAACUUUGUAUACUGUAGCACCAAACAUAUCAAGACACUAUAAAACCAUUCAAGAGAAUGAAAGUAUUACAGGGUAUUUAGAACCAAUUAACAGAAAAUGAAAAAUGGUUUCUGUAUAAUCUCCUUGUCUAUAAAAGUUUUUACUUAUGUUAUCAUAUAUAAUAAAAUCCAAUAAGAUAAAACCUUUUAAGACCAAUGGAGACAGAAGAAUACAAGUUUGAUGGGACUUUAAAACAAGAUGAUACUAAAUCAGCACUAGCUAUUAUGAUGUCUUGUUUUCUCCAAAAUAGCUGUUCCUACCAUCCAACCUUCUCUGCCUCAUUUCUGUUGAGCUCUUUUUCUGUCGUUUGUUGUCUCUUUUUCAUUUUGCUUUCUGCUCCAGUCAUUGUGGCCUCCCUGCCACUAUUUCUGGAAUCUUGGUAUUUUCCUUUUUAGAAUAUCCUGUAUUCUCUGUAAAAUUGAAUUGGUGGUUGCAAAUUCCCCUAGUUCCUCUUUAUCCUGGAAGCACCUUGUUUUUCCAUCAAUUUCUAGGGACAGUUGUGCAGGAUAUAUCAAUCUUGGCUGGAGGUUAUUAUCUUUCAAAGCUUGAAUUAUUUCCCCCCAUGCUCUUUGUGAUUUGAUGGUUUGUGCCGAGAAGUCUGCUGUAAUUCUGAUAGGUGUUCCCUUGUGAUCUGUUUCUUGUCUCUAAUGGCUUUUAAUAUUCUGUUCUUAUAUUGGGUUUCUGGAAUUUUGAUUAUUAUAUGCCUGGGUGUAGCUCUGUUUGAGUUGUAGGUGGCUGGGGUCCUGGAUGCCUCGUACAUCUGAGUAUCUUUACCAUUUGCUAAAUUAGGGAAAUUCUCUUGGAUUAUUUCUGUGAAUAGCUUUUGUAGUCCAUUUGUUUGUGUCCCUACUUCUUCUUUUAUGUACUUAAUUCUUAAGUUAUAGAUCCUCUUAGCAUCUUCUAGCCUUUGUAUUGUUGCUGUUUGCUUUUUUAUUUUUAAGAAGUUUUUCAUUUCAUGCUCCCAUAUUACAAAUCUGCCCUCCAGUUCAGAUAAUCUAUCCUUAGUUUCUUUCAAGCUGUUAUGCCCGUUUUUGAUAGAGUUUUUAGUUUCCUGGUAAUCUCUUUGAACCUGCUUCACGUAUUCUAUAUUUUCUCUAUUUUCUCCAUCAAACAAUUCUCCCUUUUUUCCUGUUCUUCCAUUUCACCAUCUGUUUUUUCUUGGGCAGUGCUUAGCAUUUCUCUAUCUAUUCUACUUAUAUCUUACUUUAGGGUCCACCUCCAGGCGCUGAGACCUGAUUUAGGCUAGCCUACUGGGUCUUAGUCAGCUGUGUCACGCAGGCCAUACACUCCCCACCAAGCCCACUUGAGAGGGAAAUAUGUGACUGAAGUCACUGCAACAACCUGUUCCAGCUAGUCUGCCCCGUCCCAGUAUGUCCUUUGCUGAAGCCUCCUGUGGAAGGGUCCCCGAUCCGCUCCCUAACCACAGGUUGAUGCAGGGCUCCUAGCCAGUCCCACUCUCAACUCCAUUCACCGCUUCCCAUUCUCAGAGCUUUCGCGCCUCUCUCCUUGCCGUGCCGAAUGUGACAUAGCAGUGGCUGCAGGAAAUUCAAAUCGCAGCUUCCAGUGGCGUGGGGUCCAGUUUCCGUGCUGAGACCUUAUCUGUUCCUGUUAUAUCACCAGGAUUGCGUUUCCAGUUGGUUUCUCUUAGUUUAGUUCGUUCCUGGGUCGGCAAAGUAUAUCUCCCCUUGCUUAGGAUUUCUCGCCCGGCACCAUUCCUGGAUUUUAAGUGCAGUUUCUCAGAGAGCCUCCGAAGCUGCUGCCAUCUAUCCACCAUGUUCUCCCGGAAGUCCAGUUGUUGAUUCUUUAAAGUAUUUCCCAUGCAGUUCAGGUUUUGUUCAUGAACUCUCUGUCUACCCCUAUGUCUUGAAGAUUUCUGUCUACUUUGUAUUACAGUAGAUUUAGUGUUUCUAUUUUAAUAUUUAGAUACUUGAUCCAUUUUGAUUUUAGUUUAGUGCAUGGUGAUAGAAAAUGGUCUAAUGUUAUUAUUCAGCAUGUGGAAGCCAGUUUUUCCAGCCGCAUUUACUAACGAGGCUUUUGUCUAGUAAAUAUAUUUGGCUCUUUUUUAAAAGAUAAGGUGGCUGAGUGUGUUUUCAUUUGUGUCUGUGUCUUCUAAUCUGUUUCACUGAUCUUCAGGUCUAUUUUUUUGCUAGUACCAUGCUGAUUUUAUCAUAGAAGCCUUGUAGUAUAUGGACAUCUAUCUAAAACAUAGAAAGAAGUGAAAAAAUCAGGCUACAAUGAUAUAUGUGCACCUAUGUCUAUAGCAGCACAAUUUGUAAUAGUGAAAUCCUGAAAAUAAUCCAAAUCCCCAUCAACUGAGGAAUGGAUAAAAAUAUAUGGUAUUUUUAUGCAAUGGAGUACUACUCAGCUAUAAAGAAAGAUAAUCUCAAGACUUUUAUAGGUAAAUGGAUACAACUCAAGACCAUACUCAUUAACUGAAGACAAUACUCAUAAGUGAAAUAAGUCAGAUUUGCAGCUAUAAACAUUGUAUUAUAUCCCUAGUGUAAGAAACUAAGAGUAAAUAAGAUCUAAAAUACACAACAGAUAUUUUGAAAGUGAAAGUAACUGCUCAAAAGCAAAGAACAACUGUUACAGGAGAAAGGAGAGAAAAAGGAUGGGAAAAUAAUGAACACACACAUACACACACAAACACACAUGACAGCUAAGAUAAUUAUACUGCUAAUUUGUAUUUGUUCAUUGAAAAGAAUGAUUUGUGGUUAUACUGUUUAAUCACUUUUUCAUGCCUAUAUCUUGUAAUCUGAGAAACUACUUUGAAGAAAACUAUGUAAUAUAUUAACUAUUGUUAAUCUCUUAUAAGCUUGCUUUCAAAUUAUGUAUCAUUAUUUUCAUUGUUUUUUUUCUUUAAAAAUAACAUUCUAGCCAGUGGAUAUGUUUAUUUUAUUUCUGAAAUAAAAGGAUGAGAAAAAGACAUAUAA